rnacentral:rRNA from 4 species
UAGGGAAUCUUCCGCAAUGGACGAAAGUCUGACGGAGCAACGCCGCGUGAGUGAUGAAGGCUUUCGGGUCGUAAAACUCUGUUGUUAGGGAAGAACAAGUACGAGAGUAACUGCUCGUACCUUGACGGUACCUAACCAGAAAGCCACGGCUAACUACGUG